rnacentral:rRNA from 1 species
CCUACGGGUGGCAGCAGUGGGGAAUAGUGGGCAAUGGGCGCAAGCCUGACCCAGCAACGCCGCGUGAAGGAAGAAGGCGCUCGGGUUGGAAACUUCUUGUAACAGGGACGAAGCAAGGGACGGUACCGGAGGAAUAAGCCACGGCUAACUACGGGCCAGCAGCCGCGGUAAUACGUAGGUGGCAAGCGUUAUCCGGAUUUACUGGGUGUAAAGGGCGUGUAGGCGGGAAAGCAAGUCAGAUGUGAAAACCAUGGGCUCAACCUGUGGCCUGCAUUUGAAACUGUUUUUCUUGAGUACUGGAGAGGCAGACGGAAUUCCUAGUGUAGCGGUGAAAUGCGUAGAUAUUAGGAGGAACACCAGUGGCGAAGGCGGUCUUCUGGCCAGCACCUGCCGCUGAGGCGCGAAAGCGUGGGGAGCAAACAGGAUUAGAUACCCGGGUAGUC